UCAUGACCUGAGCCAAAGUCAGAAGCUAACUUACUGAGCCACCCAGAUGAAGAAGAGAUAAAAAGGAAGAAGCUGAAGGAUGAUGGGAGUAGGAAGGAAGAGAAGAAAAGAAGAAGGCAAAAACCAGCCAACCGAACACCACUAUCACCACCAAAAAAAAAGAGGUGGGAAAUGAACAGGGAUGAAAGUUUCAAGCAGGUGGCUUUGGGGCCAUGAGCCCAGCCCCUGGCCAGCACACACCCCAGAGCUUUGUGGGAAUUACAAACAGGUGGACCUUCCUCGAGCUGGUGCAGACCCACCCAGGGCCGCCACGUGACUACCUGAGCACAGACCGGCUUCCAGUCCCCGGUGCGCCCUUGUCUAGGCACCUCUGUGCCCACGGAAUGACACAAACGGACUAAACAACACAAUGAGAGGGCUUGGAAUGUUCUGCCUGGUGGCGUGGCUGUUUCUGUGCACCCCACAGAUCUCACCUCUCUGUAGCCAAGGCCGUGCAUUCGUUCCCCGUGGCACCUGGCACAUGGAAUUAACUCGCCAUUUCUAAAAUGAAACUGACUUGCUGUACACGGAAACCAGACGGAAGGGGUACUUGAAAACAAAAUCAGCAGCCUCACACAAAUAAGAGUUGGACCAACAUUGGAAGUUCUGCCAUCGAGUGGACCCACAGAGCCCCAGAGAGUACAGUGGCUUCUGUCUACACACAGGCAGCGAAUCCCCAGAAGAGACACCUGGCUGAAUGCCUGUGGAAAGCUUCUAAGCACCAGAUUCCUGAAGAGAUGCCUCUUUCAGGUGUCUUCUGAUAAAAGACUUUUCAGUGGGAGGCCCAGGCUUGCCUCUGUGCAAGAACCAGAAUUCUGAGGAUGUUAGCUGUAUUAUUCCACUCCGGUUGCCAUAACAAAGUACCUCACACUGGGUGUCUCAACCAACAGAAGUUUAUUUUCCCACAAUUCCGAAGGCUGGAAGUCCAAGGUCAAAGUGUUGGCAGGUUUUGUGUCUUCUGAGGACUCUUUUUUGGGGGGCACCUGGGUGGCUCCGUCAGUUAUGCAUCCAACUCUUGGUUUUGGCUCAGGUCAUGAUCUCGCAGUUUGUGAGUUAGAGCCCCACAUCAGGCUCCGUGCUGACAGUGUGGAGCCUGCUUGGGAUUCUCUCUCUCCCUCUCUCUCUGCCUCUCUCUCAAAAUCAAUCAAUCAAUCAAUCAACCUCAGGACUCUUUUUCUCCUUGGCUUUAGACAGCUUCUCCCUGUAUCCUCACAUGGCCUUCCCUCUGUACCCGUCUAUGUCCAAAUCUCCUGUUCUUGUAAGGACACCAGUCAUGUUGGAGUAGGGGCCACCAUAUGGCCUCAUUUUAUCAUAAUCACCUCAUUAAAGCUCUGUCUCCAAAUACAGUCACAUUGUGAGGCACUGGGAGUUAGGACUCCAACAUAUGGAUUUGGGACAUUGAAGUAAACAGAGGGGUCGAUGCCACUUAAGGUUGUAACUUACUGGGCAAGAAUAGAAGAGUGUACAAAAGAGGGUUUUUGAGGAGAAAAGGAGGAUUAUGUGCAGGAAAUGUCCUAGAGGCUCUGCUUAAUGAGACCUCACUGAAACCUCCUUAACCCUCACUUAAACAGCCACCUUACAAGGCAGUUUUUCAUCUUCUUGUGUAGUGUCGUUUUCCUUUCCUUUUUGACUUUUCUGUCUUAUUCUGAUGGUGGUUGUUAAGUCUGCUAAAGAACAUAACUUACACUUGUUCACUCUCAUUUUGAAGUUUUCUCUUGCAUUCACUGAACCGUGGUAAAAAUGCAUGUAAGCCUG